AGCUGGCAGGAGGCAGGGCUGGGUCAGAGGUCUGGCUUCACCGCCUGCAAAGGGGAUUCCAACACCCAGCCGGGCCAAGAAGCUGCUCCCGGUCAACCCAAUUCAUUUAUUCAUUUAGCGAAAUAUUUAGGGACAGCUCUACAGGACGGCAUUGCUGGCACAACUGCACUGGAUGUAAUAAGCGCAUCCUGAUCUCUGGGAGCUUAGAAAUCGGAAGCCAAAUCUUCAGGGGCAAGGCCCAGCCAGACUUUUGCAAAUGUAAAAAGCUGAACAGCCGAGAUUGGGAGCCAGGGGGGUUCUGGCUGGAGAGAGAUCAUCACUGAGAAUCAGGAGCCAGGGAAGGUUUCCUGAAGAGGAAGAAUUUAAGAGGAGUCAGCCAAGAUAGCCAUUAUCUUGUAUCCUGACGUGACCAGCUCUCCUGGGUCUCAACUCCUAUUCAGAAGAGCUCCACUCUCACAACUAAAUCAUCUCCAAAGGCCCCUUCUCCUGAUGCCAUCACUUUGGGGACUGGGCAUUAGAAUUUCAACAUAUUAACUUGGGGAGGAGGACACAAACCUUCAUCCCACGACAAGAGGCUCUCUCCUAGCUUUUGGCAGCUGCCAUCCUUGAAUUCCUUGACGUGAAGCUGUAUCACUCUGAUUUCUGACCCUGUCUUCUCGUGGCCGGCUUCUCCAUGUGCCUUUGUCUCUACAUGGCCUUGGAGGGAUGUGGGACAUUGGAGUUAGGUCUCACCCUAAUCCAGUAUGACCUCAUCUCGCCUUGAUUACAUCAUCUACAAAGUCCCUAUUUCCAAAUAAGGUCAUAUUCACAGGUUUCAAGUGGGCAUGAUUUUUUUUGUUGUUGUUGUUGUUGGCAGGGAAAGUCGGAGAGUAUUCAAUCCUCUACAGGUAACAUAAUAAUUUUGGCAGAAAGGUUCAAUAUCAUUGCAAAUAUGAUGUCGCAUGUCCUUCCCCCCAAGAAACAAUGUUUUAAAAGACAGAGGGAUGAUUUUAGUUUUGGAAAGGUCUAUGGCAAUGGUUGCAUCUGGGUUUCAUUGGGGAGCACCGAUAGCAAUAGUCACUUGUGGAGAACUAUGACAAAGGAAAGGAACACAUGGUGGAAUGAGCACAGGAGAGGAUCAGAGCCAGCCUGUGAGAGCUGCCCUGGCGAUGAGGGAGCCAGUUCUUUUCUCAAAGCUGAGUCCUCAGAGGGACUGUCUCCUCCUUGGUUUUGCCACAUGGCUUGUGAAACAAGAGACACCAAAGAGACAGGUGACAUAAUGUUGAGUGGCUAGACUAGAACUACUGCAUACAUUAAUGUUGUACCAGCCUCCGCAGGACAUGAAAUCCUAUAGAAUGAUUCGUCUUUAAGCUUCUAAAGUACUUUUGCAAAUUCCCCUGGGAGACACUCAUGACUCCCCCCCCUGCAUUGGGAUUAUAUUUUGUUUGUUUUUCUUCCAAAAGUUGGAGUGGCUGGUGGGAGGCCUGCUCAAAUGAUGACAUAAGAGCAGACAUAAAACUGAAAGCAACUUAAGGAGAACCUUCAUGAUCUCUCUCAAAACUGGGCCUUUCACACAGACUUCUAAUGCAGCUUCUUCAUAAUUUAUCAACGGAAGUCAAUCUUGAGGAAAUUUGGACCUGAGGAAAGAUGCACCAUAAAAGAAGUGAGGCAUGAAUAGUUAAUGAUGAAACAUGUUAUAUUUCCUAUCCAUUUAUUCCUUCUAGUCUUGAGGAACUUCUUCCUGGGAAUCUUUGAUUUUGCUCACCCACAGAGUACCUUUUGGAAAUACACAAAUAUAUAUAAACACGAUAUACAUACAUGCCCAUACUUACACAUAUAUGUGAAUAAUAAAUAUGUAUUCAUCUCUUCUAAUCCAAUGAGAUUAUCAUGCAAUGUUAAAUAUUAGAGUGAUUCCAUUAAAUAGCACGUAUUUCCCAUUCAAGUGAUUUUACACUUAUUUUUGUUAUCAUCUUUUACCUUCAUCUUGCAUAUGACAGUCCUUCCUCCGUGUCUGCGGGAGAUUGAUGCCAAGAUCGCUACUGAUACCCAAAUCCAAAGAUGCUCAAGUGUCUUAAAUAAAAGGAUGUACUAUAUGCAUAUAACCCAUGCACAUCCUCCCAAACACCUUAAAUCAUCUCUGGAUUACCUGUAGUACUUAAUACAAUGUAAAUGCUA